AUUGAACGCUGGCGGCAGGCUUAACACAUGCAAGUCGAGCGGAGAUGAGGUGCUUGCACCUUAUCUUAGCGGCGGACGGGUGAGUAAUGCUUGGGAAUCUGCCUAUUAGUGGGGGACAACAUUCCGAAAGGAAUGCUAAUACCGCAUACGUCCUACGGGAGAAAGCAGGGGAUCUUCGGACCUUGCGCUAAUAGAUGAGCCUAAGCCGGAUUAGCUAGUUGGUGGGGUAAGGGCCUACCAAGGCGACGAUCUGUAGCGGGUCUGAGAGGAUGAUCCGCCACACUGGGACUGAGACACGGCCCAGACUCCUACGGGAGGCAGCAGUGGGGAAUAUUGGGCAAUGGGGGGAACCCUGAUCCAGCCAUGCCGCGUGUGUGAAGAAGGCCUUAUGGUUGUAAAGCACUUUAAGCGAGGAGGAGGCUACUGAGACUAAUACUCUUGGAUAGUGGACGUUACUCGCAGAAUAAGCACCGGCUAACUCUGUGCCAGCAGCCGCCGUAACAC
rnacentral:rRNA from 1 species